AGAGUUUGAUCCUGGCUCAGGAUGAACGCUAGCUACAGGCUUAACACAUGCAAGUCGAGGGGCAGCAUGGUCUUAGCUUGCUAAGGCCGAUGGCGACCGGCGCACGGGUGAGUAACACGUAUCCAACCUGCCGUCUACUCUUGGACAGCCUUCUGAAAGGAAGAUUAAUACAAGAUGGCAUCAUGAGUCCGCAUGUUCACAUGAUUAAAGGUAUUCCGGUAGACGAUGGGGAUGCGUUCCAUUAGAUAGUAGGCGGGGUAACGGCCCACCUAGUCUUCGAUGGAUAGGGGUUCUGAGAGGAAGGUCCCCCACAUUGGAACUAAGACACGGUCCAAACUCCUACGGGAGGCAGCAGUGAGGAAUAUUGGUCAAUGGGCGUAAGCCUGAACCAGCCAAGUCGCGUGAGGGAUGAAGGUUCUAUGGAUCGUAAACCUCUUUUAUAAGGGAAUAAAGUUCGGGACGUGUCCCGUUUUGUAUGUACCUUAUGAAUAAGGAUCGGCUAACUCCGUGCCAGCAGCCGCGGUAAUACGGAGGAUCCGAGCGUUAUCCGGAUUUAUUGGGUUUAAAGGGUGCGUAGGCGGCCUUUUAAGUCAGCGGUGAAAGUCUGUGGCUCAACCAUAGAAUUGCCGUUGAAACUGGGGGGCUUGAGUAUGUUUGAGGCAGGCGGAAUGCGUGGUGUAGCGGUGAAAUGCUUAGAUAUCACGCAGAACCCCGAUUGCGAAGGCAGCCUGCCAAGCCAUGACUGACGCUGAUGCACGAAAGCGUGGGGAUCAAACAGGAUUAGAUACCCUGGUAGUCCACGCAGUAAACGAUGAUCACUAGCUGUUUGCGA
rnacentral:rRNA from 1 species